rnacentral:rRNA from 1 species
GAUGAACGCUGGCGGCGUGCCUAAUACAUGCAAGUCGAGCGAACAGACGAGGAGCUUGCUCCUCUGACGUUAGCGGCGGACGGGUGAGUAACACGUGGAUAACCCACCUAUAAGACUGGGAUAACUUCGGGAAACCGGAGCUAAUACCGGAUAAUAUAUUGAACCGCAUGGUUCAAUAGUGAAAGACGGUUUUGCUGUCACUUAUAGAUGGAUCCGCGCCGCAUUAGCUAGUUGGUAAGGUAACGGCUUACCAAGGCAACGAUGCGUAGCCGACCUGAGAGGGUGAUCGGCCACACUGGACCUGAGACACGGUCCAGACUCCUACGGGAGGCAGCAGUAGGGAAUCUUCCGCAAUGGGCGAAAGCCUGACGGAGCAACGCCGCGUGAGUGAUGAAGGUCUUCGGAUCGUAAAACUCUGUUAUUAGGGAAGAACAAAUGUGUAAGUAACUAUGCACGUCUUGACGGUACCUAAUAAGAAAGCCACGGCUAACUACGUG